rnacentral:tRNA from 1 species
GCUCAUAUAGGCAAGCGGCUAUGUCGCCUCCCUUGUAAGGAGGGUGUCGGGAGUUCGAAUCUCUCUAUGAGCU